rnacentral:lncRNA from 1 species
UUAGCAGCAUCCACGUGACAAGGCACACUGCAGAAGGCUAUCGACUCCAUCUCCUCCUCACCUCUGCUAUCGCAAGACCAGUACGGCUGCUUCAUGUCAGCCUGUGUGUCCCACCUGUGAAGUCACAGGCCUGCUCCUUUUCUGUCUCACAAAACUGCCUCCUGAAAUGUCUUGGCCACACAGGUGUGGAAUGAGGCCUGGGGUGGACUCUCCUUGAGAUACGGGGAUGAGGACAGUGAGCUGUUUGCCAGCGUGCAGCUGCCAGCCAGUUUCAAGAUGAGAACCAACUACCGCUGAG